UACGUAGGGGGCGAGCGUUGUCCGGAAUCAUUGGGCGUAAAGCGCGUGUAGGCGGCUCGAUAAGUCCGGUGUGAAACCUUGGGGCUCAACCCCAAGCCUGCACUGGAUACUGCCGAGCUAGAGUCCGGGAGGGGAGGGCGGAAUUCCUAGUGUAGCGGUGAAAUGCGCAGAUAUUAGGAAGAACACCGGUGGCGAAGGCGGCUCUCUGGAACGGUACUGACGCUGAGGAGCGAAAGCGUGGGGAGCAAACAGG
rnacentral:rRNA from 1 species